GCAUCAUUGUAGCAUAGCUCAGUUGGUUAGAGCAUGGGCUGACAACACCAAGGUUGCAGGUUUGAUCCCCAUAUGGGACA